rnacentral:lncRNA from 1 species
UCGAAGUGGUUGCUUAAUUACCAUAUGUGUGUGGCAGUUGACACUCACUCACACCAACGACUCAUUCAAGGCGCCAACUGCUGCAAUUCAGUUCCCCAGAGACGGAUGUGGAAGCCGCAACAGGAGGCUGCACACCAAGUGAUAACUGAGCUGAUAUCUUUGUGAACGGUGACAGACAAUAAAAUGAACGAAACAAGCGAUUAUGAAGAGGAUCCUCAUGCUUACUACGAAAACAUUCAAAGACUGUAUUAUGCCUCCUACAUCUGGGUCCUCGCAGCCUUUGGCGUCCCUGGCAACGUGGCCUGCAUCUUGACAGUUGCUACAAUGACCCUCACCACGGCCACCGUAUACGUGGUGCUGUUGGCGGCGGCAGACCUCGCAGCUCUGGUGCUCAAGAUAAUCUUUCACCAGAUGAGUUAUCAUGAAGUGCCGAACAAUACAUAUUCUGUGUAAAGGGGAUGUGGUUGUUCAGGUAGUCAGCUGCUACGCCAAUUGGACCCUCGUCCUCAUCUGUUUUGAGAGGUUCCUAGCCGUGUGCUAUCCAUUGAAAAGAAAUGCUUACUUCACUACAAAGAAAGCCAUUGUCAUUGCUGUGCUACUUGGUCUGACCCUGUGUUUGUGUUUUCUGUAUGGAUUUAUUAACAUGGACAAGAUGGAAGAGGGAUACUGUUACUACCCGGAGCACACCCAUGAGUUCGUCACAACCUACUGGUACUGGAUAACAGCCUCCAUUUACUUUUUUCUGCCCUUCGCCCUGCUCUCUAUCUUCACCGGCCUCAUCAUUGUCAGUCUCAGGCGGCAGAGAAAGACGCGUGAAGCCAUGAGGGCGACAAUCCAGUCCACAUCAAGGAAGACAAGUCAAGCGAGAGUUGAAACAACUAUCUGUAUCAUGAUGGUGUGCGCCGCUAUUGUCUUUCUGAUAGUCACAUUGCCCACCUGCAUAUAUCACCUCAUUGCACCAUGGGGGAUACUAAAAUACGACACCCCUCAACAGUAUUUUGCAUCGGUAAUGUUCCAAUAUCUUGCCAUAGGUUUAUCAGAAGCCAACCACGCUGUCAAUUUUUACAUUUAUUUUCUGUCUGCCAAGAAGUUCAGGUCUCGUUUCAAGGAUUUGAUAAAGAAAUGUUUUUGCUUCAGAGAGAGAAGAGCAUCUCUCAAUAGUUUCACAUCUACUACACAGAACUCCUUGAUACAAAAGACCAAUGAAAUGGAAGCAACUGUGUAGCAAUUAAACAGAAAGACCUAGCCUAAACUUUAGGCUGCGACAACUUUAAUAAUUGCUACCCACUUUAUAUCACUGGAAAAGAAAUAAAGAAAGGAAAUAUAAACACAAAUGGACAACAUUGCUUGUAAAUAGAAAGUAACAUAGGCAAGGAGAAGUAUGCACACAGCACUGGACCAAUACUGAGCUCAAAAAGAUAUUUUAUGUUGGAGCUUUAGUGUGAUUGGGUGAGAUAAUAAUCAUGUUUAUGGUUACAGACAUGUGCACAGACGGUUGGUGAGGUAGUAGAUAAUUAUUUCUUUUCUAUCUGUAUCUUUAUUUUUCAUUUUAGUAAGUAAGGGUUGUCAAUGGAGAGAGUAUGCUUGAUGCAUACUUAUGUACUUAUUUACUCUCACUAAAAUUUAUAUUUGAUCAAGUUCAAUAUUUUAAGAAUGAUGAGGAUUACAGGCAGCAAAUAGUAAUUAGAUAUUUCGACUAAGUCAAUGAAGAUAAACCGGACGAUGCAAGGUACCAAAUCUGGUUUUACUUAUGAUGUAUAUAAAUACAUUUUAAAUACAAAACAUUAUGCAUACUAUGUUGUCCAAUCUUACAUUUGUAAAAGAAACUAAUCUGUUAAAUUAGCAUUCCUAUUACAUCAUCUGCUCUAGAACCGAUUCCUGAAAGGAAUUUAAUAAACAAAUGAGCUUUUUGUUAUGUUGUAAGCUACUUUCAUUCGUGGGUUAAGGUUUAUAGAGGGGAGGCCACUGGAAAGUAGCCGCCUCCUAUAACAAGGACCAGAGGUUUCUCUGAAGUGCCCUACCAAUGUAUAAAUAUUAUUUUGAAUGUUAUGAUAUUCUUUUCUUCCCCAUAUAUAUAUCUUUAUACAUCUAAUAGACAUUGUACUUUACAUUGCCAUAUAUCUGCAUCAAUGUGUACUUGGAACAAGUGAGCAUGGCUUUUGUUAGUGAGUCUGUAUAUGUGUACAUGUCAGCAUAAUGCUAAGUUUGUUUGUUUGUUAUUACUUGUACAAUAGUCUUCUUUGUAAUUCGCCAAAAAGUGUGUUUAUAUCUGUACUGAGUAAAGUCUUUAUCAUUUUUG